CCAAGUAUAGAAAUCUUAAACCGAAAUCGCCAAUGUCUAAACCCUAGCCGUCAUUCCUCUUCUCUGUAAUCCUCUCUUCUCUAAUCCCCUCUUCUUCAUUCUUGUAUCUCAAUAUCAUAGACAAGAAAGUUUUACCUCGCAUCACACCUUCUUUUCGCCGAGUUGCUUCGGGGAAUCGUGGCCAGUGCCGUCGUCGUCGUAUUAUGGCCCGGAGCCUCCACCGUCGCCGCCUCGUCUUUAGCAGCCUUUGUGGGAGACGAACCAAGAUGAAAAAGUAAGGUAGCUCGAUCGUCCUCUCGUCACUGAUUCAUAUCUUUCUUAUUUCGAGAUCUGGCGCCUUUUUCUUUUUCCCUAGCUCUUGAUCUGAUUCGUGUGGAGAGGAGAAAGACCUGCUGUCAUCGGUGCAUGAUUUGUGAGUCCAAUCCUUAUAAUUUACUUUGACUCAUCGAUUUACUACUAGAUCAAAGGAAGCAUUGUAUGACUGAUAUUCCAGCUAGGGAAUUGGGUCCUUUUGGCAGGGAUGAAUCUAAUCGGAGCAAAAUCACUCAUAACGACCAAUGCUUUUACAGUGACAUGUUCAGAUUGUAUUUGCUCAUUCAUGACUCCCUAGCUUUGAACCUCUUGGAAUGAAUGCAAUUUUGGGAUUCGGAGGUCCAUUACACUAAUCCAUGGCUAUUGGCUUUAAUUUCAUAAGUGCCGGUAAUUAGUUAAUGGGUGAUCUCUUUCAAGUUUUAAGAGUACCGUAUGAUGAUUAACAUAAAUGAAUGGAACACAUUCAAAUCGAUGCUACUGGAGAUGAUGAUAAAAUCAAAGCUGAAGCAAAAUGAUACACAAAACAUAAUGCAAGUAUGUUAUCUUAGCUAUAAGGAGGUGGCAAUUGAUGUUCGUGCUUGGUAAGAUAGUAAGUGUAGUCGUGCUUAUGAUUUGUAAUGGACAUUGAUGAUGAUCAACUUAAACAUGUUGUGAAUAUAAUGCUUGAAUAUGUUAUGAAUAUAAUGUUUAGAUGAGCAUCAACAUAACAUAGAUGAAAAACUAAUAAAAAGUGUUAGCUUGUUAGUUAGUGUUAGUACACAUGUUGAUAAGCAAAAGAUAAUACAUAGCCCUUUAAGUUUGAUUGAAAUCUAUGGUAUGAGGUCCAUCGUAUAGUAGAAUGUCGAUAGAAAUAGUUGAACUUUGAAACACAAGGUCCUGAAAUUCAAGUAUCUCUACGGAUUUUUUACAUAUACGUUAUCAUUAUGCUUUUGCUAUUUUACUCAGGGUUCAGGAAGGCGCGUCUAGGAGGCCAACUAAGCAGAAAAGGAGGCAGGGCGGAAAGAAAACGAGGCGAUUAGCGCAAGGCGGUCUGAUUAAGGCGGAGCUGCGGAAUCGGUGCUGAAUCGGUGAGGCGACGCGAAAUCGGCGCGAAAUCUGGGAGGCGGAAAAGGCGGACUGCGCGGAUUUAAAAAAAAAAUUAAAACUACCUAAAACGCGGACUGCAGAGCACAAGAUCGACGCUCUCACCUUCAUCCUCCUUCCAUCUCCUCUCUAUGUAGAUUGACGCAACCAUGGUGGUCAUUACUCCUCCCUAUCGUCGAUUUUGGGUCGAUUGUGGCGGCGGUCCUCACUCCCCCUACCGUCGGUUCCGUGUUGAUUGCUGCAGCGGUCCUCUCCUUCCUGCCGUCGCCUACGCUUACCACCGAACCAAGGUGAUUGCUUCACCUCUUCCUCUGUGUACAUCGUUGUAACUAGUUUCUGUAAACCCUACUUCUGUCAAUCGGUGGAAAUUGUUGGAAAACUCUGUUUCUGUAAACCCUGGUCUUGUACUCUUGUUUACCCUCUUCGUUUGUGCAUAGUGUACAUCACUGGAAAAGAAAUACGUUGUAAUACUAAAUUACUAAUAGAUAAUGAUAAUUGCAGCAUGUUUUGGUGAAAUUUGGUGAUUAGUAAUUGGUAAUGCAGGAUUAUCAUGGCAGAUUCAUUAGGAUUAUACGGUACACAAGUUGAUAGUGGUAGUACUAUUGGUCUGAAAAGAAGGUCGGGUGAUAUCGUGUGGAAAUACAGAAAAAUUGUUGAUCC
rnacentral:lncRNA from 1 species